rnacentral:rRNA from 1 species
GAUGAACGCUGGCGGCGUGCCUAAUACAUGCGAGUCGAGCGAACAGACGAGGAGCUUGCUCCUUUGACGUUAGCGGCGGACGGGUGAGUAACACGUGGAUAACCUACCUAUAAGACUGGGAUAGCUUCGGGAAACCGGAGCUAAUACCGGAUAACAUGUUGAACCGCAUGGUUCAACAGUGAAAGACGGUCUUGCUGUCACUUAUAGAUGGAUCCGCGCCGCAUUAGCUAGUUGGUAAGGUAACGGCUUACCAAGGCAACGAUGCGUAGCCGACCUGAGAGGGUGAUCGGCCACACUGGAACUGAGACACGGUCCAGACUCCUACGGGAGGCAGCAGUAGGGAAUCUUCCGCAAUGGGCGAAAGCCUGACGGAGCAACGCCGCGUGAGUGAAGAAGGUCUUCGGAUCGUAAAACUCUGUUAUUAGGGAAGAACAAAUGUGUAAGUAACUAUGCACGUCUUGACGGUACCUAAUCAGAAAGCCACGGCUAACUACGUG